rnacentral:rRNA from 1 species
GACGAACGCUGGCGGCGCGCCUAACACAUGCAAGUCGAACGGAGCUGAGAGGAGCUUGCUUUUCUUAGCUUAGUGGCGAACGGGUGAGUAACGCGUGAGUAACCUGCCCUGGAGUGGGGGACAACAGUUGGAAACGACUGCUAAUACCGCAUAAGCCCACGGCUCGGCAUCGAGCAGAGGGAAAAGGAGCAAUCCGCUUUGAGAUGGCCUCGCGUCCGAUUAGCUAGUUGGUGAGGUAAUGGCCCACCAAGGCAACGAUCGGUAGCCGGACUGAGAGGUUGAACGGCCACAUUGGGACUGAGACACGGCCCAGACUCCUACGGGAGGCAGCAGUGGGGAAUAUUGCACAAUGGGGGAAACCCUGAUGCAGCGACGCCGCGUGGAGGAAGAAGGUCUUCGGAUUGUAAACUCCUGUUGUUGAGGAAGAUAAUGACGGUACUC